AUGCUUGAGAGAAGAGUGCAUCGAAGCAACGGUAAAUUGGCUAAAAGUGUAGAUACUCAGCACCGAUACAAAACGUCGCGUAAUCUAAAAGAAAACAACGCCAACGAAAAACCAUGAAACGAAACGAAAAAGAAGAAAAGUCUUGUGAACAAAUCCCAACUUUGACUUGGACAAUGUGAAAUACAUCUGAAAUUCUACAGAAGUCAGGAAUAUUCAUUCCAGAAUACAUUCGGGAACGGCAUAGCGGCAUAGAUUGGUAA